ACGCUUAUUUAAAACAAGAUCUGUUCUAUAGGCUCGUACCUCUGUAUCCUUGAUUUCUAAGGAGAUAGGAAACCGUGUCCAGUGGAUGAGCCAUGGCUGCCUGGCUAGAGCGUGAUUAACAGCCCCUCGGAUCGAGUUUCUUUCUAGCUCAUGGUGCAGUAGAUGAUUGUUCUUGGCUUGACAUCAGUCCAGUCAGGAUGGCCAAGCAGUCUGACGCACU